rnacentral:rRNA from 1 species
AUUGAACGCUGGCGGCAGGCCUAACACAUGCAAGUCGAACGGAGUGGCGAACGGGUGAGUAACACGUGGGUGACAUGCCCUGCACUUCGGGAUAAGCCUGGGAAACUGGGGCUAAUAACGGAUAGUGUGGGAUGGGCCCGCGGCCGAUCAGCUUGUUGGUGGGGUAAUGGCAUACAAAGGCGGCGACGGGUAGCCGGCCUGAGAGGGUGGACGGUCAAAUUUGGACGGAGACACGUCCCAGACUCCUACGGGAGGCAGCAGUGGGGAAUAGUGCACAAUGGGCGGAAGCCUGAUGCAGCGACGCCGGGUGGGGGAUGACGGCCUUCGGGUUGUAAACUCCUGUCACCAUCGACGCGGUAGAUGGAGAAGAAGCACCGUCUAACUACGUGCCAGCAGCCGCGGUAAUAC